UGGCAAUGUCAUAAUCAUUUGCAUAGAUACUUACUUUGGGAAGACUAGUAUCGGACAAGACCUAUGAAACUUUACUGUAAGAGAUGAAAAUCUGUCAUAAGUAAAUUUCAUUAAAAUUAUUAGACACUAAAUCCUCAAUGCCUGAGUGAUUUGAGAUUACUUGUUUGAGAACUGGUUGCUUUGACGUUGACCAACCGUCGCACCGUAAAAGGAGGCUAUAAAGGCAACGCUCAGGUAAUCACCUAUCAAACGAAGUCUAAUCUCAAGAUCGCAAGAUUGGGAUUGUCCUCCCAUAAAUCGGGAUGAGAUGCUUAAAAGUUGUACAAGGCCACUCGGAGAGCUAGAAACUGUGAAAUGCAUGGCCGUGCUCGGAUGAAUCAUAGGCUAUGAUUAUCUGUUUAUUUGAUCAGUUGAACUCUGAAAUCGAGGAACACCUCUGGACAUAAUAAGGAUGACAACUCUUACCUUAUGUUCAAGAGCAAGCAUCGAGCGACAAAGGAAUUAGGAAAUGCACACUUGUCCCUAAGGACAAGUGGGAGACUGAAGGAAAUAAUGCCCUUGGUCCAAGUAUGCAUUCAAUGUUAAGUCUAAUAAAUGCGGUUCAGUAUUAAUUAACAAGUUAAUAAUUCAGUGAGAUCAAGUGAGCUGAAUGCCUAGCUAGAGGCCGCUUCAGUUCAAGUGGAAUUAAUGAUAUUAAUCCACAGCUUACUCUUGACUGAACCCGUAGGGUCACACAAAUAGUACGUAAACGGAUCAAGUAUUUAAUGGCAUUAAAUACUCCAUCUAUGGAUAUUCGGAAUCGACGGAUCUUAGUUUUAGUGGGAGCUGAGAUCGUCACAGGCAAGAAAUGAAUACUCCGGAAACGAUGAUAUUGCCGGAAACGGAAAUAUGGAUCGUAUAGGAAAUAUAAAUAUUAUCCAAGUCGUAGAUGUUGCCGGAAACGGAAACAUGGUACGUAUCGGAAAAUAUUAUCGGAAAUGGAAAUAUUGUCGGAAUCGGAAAUAUUGCCGGAAACGGAAAUAUUGUCAGAAUCGAAAAUAUUAUCGGAAUCGGAAAAUAAUUCCUGAAACUGAAAUAUUAAAUAUUUGUUCGAAACGGAAAUUGAUCCCGGAAUCGGAAAUAUUGAAUAUUGUUCGUAUCGGAAAUGAAUUCCGGAAUCGGGAAAUUAAUCGGAAGCGUAUCGUAUGAAUUAGCAUCGGACGAGGCAUGCCAGACGAAGGCCCAGCACGAAGCCGGGCCAUCGCCCAGCAAGCCAGCGCGCCACAAACGCACCAGCCAAGGCUGCGCCAGGCCUACCGCAAGGCAGGCCCAGCGCGCGCCAAGGCUGCGGCAGCGUGUGGGCUUGCGGAAGUGGGCUGCGAGCGCGCGCGCAUGGCGCCCCUCGUGGGCUGCUGUGCGUGCGUGUGUGUUUGUGUGCUACUCGAAUCCUAAAGCUACCGGGAUUUGUCAUAUGAUUAAAUCUAAUCCUAAAAGAUUUAGUUUAUUUAAUUAGAGUCCUAGUAGGAUUGUAAUUAAAUAAAUUAGUAUCCUAAUAGGAUUCCAAAUCCUUUUCCAUAACUCUAUAAAUAGGUGCCUAGGGUCACAUAUUUACAUAGAGCAUUCAAGUAUUCAAAGUGAGUUUUUUGAGAGCAAAAUUCAAUUACACAAUUGCCUAUAAAGUGCCGAAAAUAAUAGUACCUUAAGGGCGAUUCUAGUUGGUCAAUCUUAAGGCGGAUCCGGACGUGCUGUGGACUAUCUACGGAGGGACGACACUUGGAGUCCUAAAGACUUGUUCUUGUUCGGUUCGGGCGCAGCUAGGGAAGGCACGCAACAAAGAAUUCUUUUGAAUUUCUUCGACGCUUCGAUCUGGUAACAAUGGCGGUGGCAGCAAGUGCACCUAUCGUAAUGAAAGAAGUUCUUACGGUUGGAUUUCUCAUUCUCCUCGGAUCCGUGCUUUGAUUUGAUUUUGCGUUGUAUUAUUUCGUUCAUGUUGUGAAGUUUUGGAUUGAUUAAUGCUUAUACAAUGUGAAAAAUGAGCUAGAUCUGGAUUGAAUUUUAUUUUAUGAAUUUAAAUUGGACGAUUUGAUGAAUUGCGAGUUUUCUGAGUAUUGAUUGUGGAUCCGUGAGGUGAUUUUCUUCUAAUUUGAUAUUAGAGAAUUGAUCGAAGUGGUAAUUACUUUGUUUUGAUGAUGCAGUUGCCAAGAAUUAGAAUUAAUCAACAAUUCACCACAUUUAACAAUGUUACAAUGGAAUCAGAGAAGUAUAUAUGUGUGCGGGAAACAUCUUUUGGUUACCUAUUUAGUACUUCUUUCGGUUUAUAAAACGUCUGCUACGGUUAGUUGGCUAUUCGAUUCAUUUUAUAUGUUUUUCAAUUCGAAAUUGUAGGUUCAUUUGUUUUCUUCUUGCAUUUCUAUUUUAAGGUUUUCUUAGCUUUGGAUUUCUAGGUUUUCUUUGUAGACUCGGAUUUCUACGUUCGUGUUUUCUUUGUUUUGAUUUCUGGGUUCUUUGUUUUGAAUUCUGGGUUUUUGUUUGACAAUCUAAUAUGAAUUGAUAAUCAGUAUUUGAUUUCAUAUGAUAAAUUGUAUCUUAUGAAUAGAGAAAGAUCCCUUGAUGAAAGUCUCUUAAUGACUUUCUUAUGUCGCCUAGGGUAGUAAAGAGCCGCUUAACGGAUCAUCUAGAAAAUAUUGUUUGAUAUGGCCGUCGAUCUAGUAUCAACACUCGGAGGUCUGGUUUUAGUACCCCUAGAUCAUGCUCUAGCUUUGAGCCUCACCCAAUUGUUGGUGAAGCCUGGGAUGCUUUUGAGACUUUCUUUGGUUUACUUUCAUGGUCAACUUGUUGGAACUAUUGCAGCCUCAGAUACUUCAGACGGAAAAUGCAAAUAUGAUUAGGGUUAAUAAUAUCGAAUUCGAGGAGGUUAAAAUUGAUUUGGCCAAGCGUCAACAUUUAUCUCAAGAAUUUACAGGUAUAUCAUAUCUUUUCUCUUUCUAAUUUGUUGAUUGAUUUUAUUUGUUGAUUUUCUUACCCAAAUUCGUUGCUGAACUUAUGGAAAUUUAAUUGGGUUAAAUUGGUUUGAACUUUUUGUAAAUUAACAAAAAAAAAAUGCAACUUGCUUGGGGAACAUAGGGAGACAUUAGGGAGUAAUAUGGUGUAUACCAUUUGAUUAUUUGAAGCAAAGAAGACAAACAAACUAUAUGCAAUACAUUUCCUUGAACAAAAUAGUAAAGCAAACCUGCUAAUGUAUAGGUAACUUCCAUUUUCUACCAUGAUUCACAUCAAUUAAAGUGAGAUUAGUAUUCAACUAUCGUUUAACCAACAACGUGUUGUAUUGUAAUAAGAAUAACUCAAUACAAUUAAGUUUUACUGUAAAGCUUUAACUUCAAAUCGCGAUUCAGUAUCUGAUGUUGGGUAUGUCAACAAAAUCAGUUCAGACCAAUAGUCUACGCUACCAUCCUUUUUAGAUACUCCGUAUUGUAUUACCAACAUACUUCACCUUCUUUGAAGUAUUAGGUGAAUUACCUGGGGUGUCUUCGGAGGGAUAAAUUAGUUGUUUUAGUCCCUUAAUAGUGAGUACGUGGUGGUGCUUCUGCUUUAAUCUGCAACAGGUGUGUUGGGAGCCUGUUGGCUUGCUGCUGGUUUUUUUGCCGCGUGUAGGCUGGUAGCUUGGAUCUGGUUUAUUGUUUUCAGAUCGAGCACAACUUCUUCUUUUGGUUGUUUCUGGACUACGGUGUUGCUAUUUGUUUUGGUGUAUGCAGGGGGUUUGGAUAGUUCUACUUCUGGUACGCUUUAAAGUGUGGUUGCUACUUUCGAGUAUCAUGCCUUGAGGAUUGAUUAAAGUUUCAAGCUGAGACUGUGGCAUCAAUGGUUGCCUCUGGAAAACGUAUCUUGAAGGGAACACAAAAUUCCUGUGGCCAGUCCUCUCUACAUAUGGAAGUAGAAGGAAAAUCUCAAACUACAUUAGUUAGCCAAAGAAGACCCAAGGUAAGUGCUAUGUUUAAGAAGGUAUUGAAAACUGUUUGCAGUAAAUUGUAUAUAUCAGUGAGUAGUAUAUGUUAAGUUGAUGUUAAUUUUUUUUAAAUUACUAAGUGGAAUUGGGUAUGGAAGUUUAAGGAAAACGUACAUGCUUAAUUUUCUCAGUUGUCUUAAAAAAAUCACCUUUACCACCCAUUUGUAUAAAUAGUUAACGAAUUUUUGACAAACAUGGAAACAUGAAGGACCCGUAUUGAAUGUUAUUGCAUUGUAUGAAUUACAAUAAUUAAUCAAAUCAAAAACUUCGAGUACUA